UUUUGUGAUGAUUCAAAUCCUCUGAGCUUCUCCUCCCCCUCACUCGCAAACGAACGGCGGCGGUACGGUGGCUCUCUCUCGAUUCAACUCAUUGUGCCGGUGAAAGUUUCGCGGCGGCGGAAUCUCAGCCCUCUCAUUGCGCAAGUCUCUCGUCUCCGUUUCGGUUCUCGAACUCUCUCGAUCUCUUUCAGCUCAAUCCCGUGGCUCUCUCAUCUUCUCCUUGUUCGUUAUUGAUGAUGAUGAUGAUGAUGCAAAGUUCUCGAAGAUGCAGAAUCGCAAAAUCAUGUGAUGUCAGAGUGAUGAAUCACAACGAUGAAGGCGAAGGUGAUGUUUAUCUUGAACAAAUGAAGAAACAAAUGAAGGAUUCUGAGUUUGUUCUUUGUGAUUUUUUAUAGAAUCGGGAGGUUGUUUGUGAAGAUUGUAAAGAGUUAGCCGAAGAACUUUUUCUGUGUGAGUUUCUUGGAGAAUGAAGGUGAAGAUUGGAAGAGCGAUUCUGUUAUCAUUGAAGAAGUGGAGAUUGAAUCGAGAGAAAACCUCUUAGCAAUUCUGUUACAGGUUUUUGAGAGAUUGAAGGAGAACCAGAUUGGUGAUGAAUUGGUUUGAGAAUCGGUGAAGAUUCUUCUUGAAGAUUUUUCAGAGAAGGUUUUUGUUGAAGAUGAUGAAGUUGAGAGAAGAUUGAGGGUGGGAGAAGAAUGAAUGGAUGGAAGUGAAGGGAAAAUUGAAGAUGAUGAAUCCUGAGAUUGUGAAGGAAGGAUUGAAGAAUGGUGAGGAAGAUCCUGAAGGUGUGUGUGCAGCUGAGAUAUAUAGAGGAUGAUGAGAGGGACCUUUAUUUGAAGAGUUUAAUGGUGCAGCUUGGCUUUGGUGAGGUUGGGUGCUGCUGGCUCCGGUUUUAUUUUGGUUUGCGCUGCAGGUUGUAUUUUGUUUUCAAUUUGCUAGGCAGCUAGCACUGAGUAGCUAGGGGGUAGGUUGUGAACUGGUUUAGGAUUUAGAUGAUGUAACUUUGAUAUCAGCUUUUUUCUAGAACCAUAUUGUUGCUCAUAUCUGUCUUCUUGAACCGUAUGCUUAAGACCAUGUGACAUUAUACUAGAAAUAGAGCUGAAUGAAGUUGAACUGGCGGAUCUCUUAUGGUUGUCAUUUGUGGUUGCAGGUAUGAUGCUGUUUGGAUGACUUGAACCUGUUCUCGAUCCGACACACACCUAACCCAAGGUGCAAGAUGUUUUUAACUGAACUGAACAUCAUUAACGGUUUCAGUGCCAUGUUUGGAAUUUCGCGAGCUACAAGUUCGGCUAAUGUGAAGGAAACGUAACCCUUGGUGUAGCUUAGGGAACCAACACUUGUAAAAAUAGUUUUUUUUUGUAAAGCUUUUUCCUUGUGUUGUAUGACGCGAUCGAACUUGUAACGGCCAAGUGUAAUGCUCUUAUCUGUAAUUAUCUUGACAG